rnacentral:rRNA from 1 species
UGGGGAAUUUUGGACAAUGGGCGAAAGCCUGAUCCAGCCAUGCCGCGUGUGUGAAGAAGGCCUGCGGGUUGUAAAGCACUUUCGGUGGGAACGAAAUAUGCCGGGCUAAUACCCCGGUAGGCUGACGUUACUCAAUGAAGAAGCACCGGCUAACUCUGUGCCAGCAGCCGCGGUAAUACAGAGGGUGCGAGCGUUAAUCGGAAUUACUGGGCGUAAAGAGUUGUGUAGGUGGUGUACUAAGUUGGUAGUGAAAGCGUGCGGCUCAACCGCAUAUCCAUUGUCAAAACUGGUAGACUAGAGGGCGAGAGAGGUUAUUGGAAUUUCUAGUGUAGGAGUGAAAUCCGUAGAUAUUAGAAGGAACACCGAUGGCGUAGGCAGAUAACUGGCUCGCACCUGACACUCAGACACGAAAGCGUGGGGAGCGAACGGGAUUAGAUACCCACGUAGUCCCUGAGCGGGCUGGCAAGGCGCAU